rnacentral:piRNA from 1 species
UGAAGAUGUAGAGGAAUAGGAAAUCCCC